rnacentral:lncRNA from 7 species
AUAUGAGGUUGCGACACCCAAAUGUGGAUGCACCUCAACCUGGACCCGCAUCGGCAUCUGAACGGUCACCCCCCACCACCCUCUUCCGCUUCCGCACCCUAGAGGCAUGUGAGAGCAGGACUGCUGACAGUAACUUUGGGAUUGGUCUCCCGUAUACAAUUACUCCAGAAUAGACCGUAGUUUCUUGCUUCAUAUAGUUUUAGAGAAAGUAAUUCUUUUGGUUUCUGGUAGUUUAAUUGGAGGCACAGUCCUCUGGGUCUGCCCUUUUCAUUGUCCUGGCAA